UGUGGCUCAGUGGUAGAGCACUUGCCUUGCAUGCAUGGACACUGGGUUCCAUCCUCAGCA
rnacentral:tRNA from 1 species